rnacentral:rRNA from 1 species
UACGUAGGGACCAAGCGUUGUUCGGAUUUACUGGGCGUAAAGGGCGCGUAGGCGGCAAAUUAAGUCAGCCGUGAAAUCUCCGAGCUUAACUCGGAACUGUCAGCUGAUACUGAUGUGCUAGAGUGCGGAAGGGGCAAUCGGAAUUCUUGGUGUAGCGGUGAAAUGCGUAGAUAUCAAGAGGAACACCUGAGGUGAAGACGGGUUGCUGGGCCGACACUGACGCUGAGUGCGCGAAAGCCAGGGGAGCAAACGGG